CCUACGGGAGGCAGCAGUGGGGAAUAUUGGACAAUGGGGGGAACCCUGAUCCAGCCAUGCCGCGUGUGAGAAGAAGGCCCUCGGGUUGUAAAGCACUUUCAGUGAGGAAGAACGCCUGGUGGUUAAUACCCAUCAGGAAAGACAUCACUCACAGAAGAAGCACCGGCUAACUCCGUGCCAGCAGCCGCGGUAAUACGGAGGGUGCGAGCGUUAAUCGGAAUUACUGGGCGUAAAGCGCGCGUAGGUGGCUUGAUAAGCCGGUUGUGAAAGCCCCGGGCUCAACCUGGGAACGGCAUCCGGAACUGUCAAGCUAGAGUGCAGGAGAGGAAGGUAGAAUUCCCGGUGUAGCGGUGAAAUGCGUAGAGAUCGGGAGGAAUACCAGUGGCGAAGGCGGCCUUCUGGACUGACACUGACACUGAGGUGCGAAAGCGUGGGUAGCAAACAGGAUUAGAUACCCUAGUAGUC
rnacentral:rRNA from 1 species